rnacentral:rRNA from 1 species
AGUGAACGCUGGCGGUAGGCCUAACACAUGCAAGUCGAACGGCAGCACAGUAAGAGCUUGCUCUUACGGGUGGCGAGUGGCGGACGGGUGAGGAAUACAUCGGAAUCUACUUUUUCGUGGGGGAUAACGUAGGGUAACUUACGCUAAUACCGCAUACGACCUACGGGUGAAAGCAGGGGAUCUUCGGACCUUGAGCGAUUGAAUGAGCCGAUGUCGGAUUAGCUAGUUGGCGGGGUAAAGGCCCACCAAGGCGACGAUCCGUAGCUGGUCUGAGAGGAUGAUCAGCCACACUGGAACUGAGACACGGUCCAGACUCCUACGGGAGGCAGCAGUGGGGAAUAUUGGACAAUGGGCGCAAGCCUGAUCCAGCCAUACCGCGUGGGUGAAGAAGGCCUUCGGGUUGUAAAGCCCUUUUGUUGGGAAAGAAAAGCAGCAGGUUAAUACCCCGCUGUUCUGACGGUACCCAAAGAAUAAGCACCGGCUAACUUCGUG